AGCGAACGUUUGCGGCGGGCCUAACACAUGCAAGUCGAACGAGAUCUCGGGCUUCGGUCCGGGUGAAAGUGGCGCACGGGUGCGUAACACGUGGGUAAUCAACCCUCUGGAUCGGGACAACCCGGGGAAACUCGGGCUAAUACCGGAUACGUCGUCGGAGCUCUAGGGCUCUGACGGGAAAGGCCUGCAAGGGCUACCAGAGGACGAGCUCGCGGCCCAUCAGCUAGUUGGUGAGGUAAUGGCUCACCAAGGCGAAGACGGGUAGCUGGUCUGAGAGGAUGAUCAGCCACACUGGAACUGAGACACGGUCCAGACUCCUACGGGAGGCAGCAGUGGGGAAUAUUGCGCAAUGGGCGAAAGCCUGACGGAGCGACACCGCGUGCAGGAUGAAGGCCUCGGUUGUAACUAGCUGUCACGCCAUA
rnacentral:rRNA from 1 species